UUCACGGAGAGUUUGAUCCUGGCUCAGGACGAACGCUGGCGGCGCGCCUAACACAUGCAAGUCGAGCGAGAACCGGAGCUUCGGCUCCGGGGACAGCGGCGAACGGGUGAGUAACACGUGGAUA
rnacentral:rRNA from 1 species